rnacentral:rRNA from 1 species
CUACGGGAUGCAGCAGUAAGGAAUAUUGCGCAAUGGAGGCAACUCUGACGCAGCCAUGCCGCGUGCAGGAAGAAGGCCUUAUGGGUCGUAAACUGCUUUUAUUUAGGAAUAAACCCUCGCUCGUGAGCGAGGCUGAAGGUACUGAAUGAAUAAGCACCGGCUAACUCCGUGCCAGCGGCCGCGGUAAUACGGAGGGUGCAAGCGUUAUCCGGAUUUAUUGGGUUUAAAGGGUGCGCAGGCGGGCUAUUAAGUCAGUGGUGAAAUCCCGGGGCUCAACUCCGGAACUGCCAUUGAUACUGAUAGUCUUGAGUUUGGUUGAAGUGGGCGGAAUGUAGCAUGUAGCGGUGAAAUGCAUAGAUAUGCUACAGAACACCAAUCGCGAAGGCAGCUCACUAAGCCAAAACUGACGCUCAUGCACGAAAGCGUGGGGAUCAAACAGGAUUAGAUACCCUCGUAGUC